rnacentral:rRNA from 1 species
AGUGAACGCUGGCGGUAGGCCUAACACAUGCAAGUCGAACGGCAGUACAGUAAGGGCUUGCUCUUACGGGUGGCGAGUGGCGGACGGGUGAGGAAUACAUCGGAAUCUACUUUUUCGUGGGGGAUAACGUAGGGAAACUUACGCUAAUACCGCAUACGACCUACGGGUGAAAGCAGGGGAUCUUCGGACCUUGCGCGAUUGAAUGAGCCGAUGUCGGAUUAGCUAGUUGGCGGGGUAAAGGCCCACCAAGGCGACGAUCCGUAGCUGGUCUGAGAGGAUGAUCAGCCACACUGGAACUGAGACACGGUCCAGACUCCUACGGGAGGCAGCAGUGGGGAAUAUUGGACAAAGGGCGCAAGCCUGAUCCAGCCAUACCGCGUGGGUGAAGAAGGCCUUCGGGUUGUAAAGCCCUUUUGUUGGGAAAGAAAAGCAGCAGGUUAAUACCCCGCUGUUCUGACGGUACCCAAAGAAUAAGCACCGGCUAACUUCGUG